rnacentral:rRNA from 1 species
GAUGAACGCUGGCGGCGUGCCUAAUACAUGCAAGUCGAACGGGGAGUAGCAAUACUCUUAGUGGCGAACGGGUGAGUAACGCGUUGGUACCUGCCCCGAAGCGGGGGAUAACGGACCGAAAGGUCCGCUAAUACCCCAUGUGCUCGGUAACGAGUAAAGGUGAAAACCACUUUGGGAGGGGCAUGCGUCCCAUCAGCUAGUUGGUAAGGUAACGGCUUACCAAGGCGAUGACGGGUAGGGGACCUGAGAGGGUGGCCCCCCACAAUGGAACUGAAACACGGUCCAUAAACCUACGGGUGGAAGCAGUAGGGAAUAUUGGUAAUGGGCGCAAGCCUGAACCAGCAACGCCGCGUGUGCGAGGACGGCCUGCGGGUUGUAAAGCACUUUUGACUGGGACGAGGAAGGACGGUACCGGUCGAAUCAGCCUCGGCUAACUACGUG